rnacentral:lncRNA from 1 species
AGAGCAACCUUCAACUUAAAAAUAAUGCAAUUUUCACUGAAGGAUACAGAACUGAAGGACAGGUAGAAAUGGAGCUGAGGAAACAUUGUAAGACUGACCUUUGCACAAGUGAAGCAUAGAUCAAGGACUUUUAGGCUCACCCAAAUUUGAGCAUGACCAUGGACCAUGCAGACUCCAAAUAUAAGUGGGAUUCUCUCUGGUAACCAUCAGGAACCUAAAGAGAACCUGGAACUAUGUAUCUUCCCUGUCAAAGCUGAAAGCCAAAAGAUCGUGUUCUCUCUUCUCCUAACUCUUGUCAACUCCAACCCUUAUACUGAACAUUGACUAAUCAGUCUCCAUACAAGAAAGUUCCAUGCAAAUGGGCUUUGAAGUAUGUGUGUGUGCGUGUUUAAAGGAAAGGGAGCUUUACCCUCAAGACUCUCUGUUUAUGUGACAUAUAAAACCUGAGAAGAUUUUUCUUUCUCAUGGAGUCAGUGCUCCAAAAUUGGAGAUCAUCAGUAUCUACCAAUAUAAAAUAAGACUAAAUGGAUUGUAAGAGGUCAUAGAAAUAUUAAUGAAUUUGGAAUAAAAAAAAUCCCGUUUUGAAUCUAGCUUCUCUU